AGGUUCCACCGAGUUUUGAACUCGGAUCUCUGAAAUAAAAGUCCAGAGUGCUAAACCAUUACACCUUGGAACC
rnacentral:tRNA from 1 species